rnacentral:rRNA from 1 species
ACUCCUACGGGAGGCAGCAGUGGGGAAUAUUGGACAAUGGGGGAAACCCUGAUCCAGCCAUGCCGCGUGUGUGAAGAAGGCCUUCGGGUUGUAAAGCACUUUCAGUGGGGAGGAAAGGUUGAUGGUUAAUACCUAUCAGCUGUGACGUUACCCACAGAAGAAGCACCGGCUAACUCCGUGCCAGCAGCCGCGGUAAUACGGAGGGUGCGAGCGUUAUCCGGAUUUAUUGGGUUUAAAGGGUCCGUAGGCGGAUUAAUAAGUCAGUGGUGAAAUCCCAUCGCUUAACGAUGGAACUGCCAUUGAUACUGUUAGUCUUGAAUGAGGGUGCAGUGGUUGGAAUGUGUAGUGUAGCGGUGAAAUGCGAUAAGAUAUUACACAGAACACCGCAUUGCGUAAGGACGAGAUCACUAACCCUAAAUUGACGCUGAGGGACGAAAGCGUGGGGAGCGAACAGGAUUAGAUACCCUGGUAGGAUAGCGU